rnacentral:tRNA from 2 species
GGGGUCGUGGGGUAGCCUGGUCGAUCCUUCGGCGUCCGGGACGCCGUUACCUGAGUUCAAAUCUCAGCGACCCCA